rnacentral:rRNA from 1 species
AAUGAACGCUGGCGGCAGGCCUAACACAUGCAAGUCGAACGGAUCCUUCGGGAUUAGUGGCGGACGGGUGAGUAACGCGUGGGAACAUACCCUUUGGUACGGAAUAGCCUCGGGAAACUGGGAGUAAUACCGUAUGUGCUCUUCGGAGGAAAGAUUUAUCGCCAAAGGAUUGGCCCGCGUUGGAUUAGGUAGUUGGUGGGGUAAUGGCCUACCAAGCCGACGAUCCAUAGCUGGUUUGAGAGGAUGAUCAGCCACACUGGGACUGAGACACGGCCCAGACUCCUACGGGAGGCAGCAGUGGGGAAUCUUAGACAAUGGGGGCAACCCUGAUCUAGCCAUGCCGCGUGAUCGAUGAAGGCCUUAGGGUUGUAAAGAUCUUUCAGUGGGGAAGAUAAUGACGGUACCCACAGAAGAAGCCCCCGGCUAACUCCGUGCCAGCAGCCGCGGUAAU